AUUUGGCAAGUGUAUUUGGGGCUGACUUGCACAGGAAUCUGCAGUGUCUUUAGAGUCCAACAGUGACCUGCUGGACCACCAGAAACCAUCAAAUCCUGCCUGCAGGAUAUUUAAAAGCUCGCUGCAGCCUGAGAGACAAAACCAGAAUCACAAUGUGGAUCCUGGGGACAGAAAUUACUGGAAAAAGUCCUGAAAUAAUGCUUUUUUUCCAGGAGCAGCUCCUGGGUGGGAUGCUGACCCUUUGCCCAGUGGGCAGCUUGUGGCACUGCCUUGCCUCUCAUCUCUUUGUGGCCUGGGGGCUCUGCCUGAAGAGAACAGGAUGCUGAUGCCCAGAAGGCACCUCAGGAAUGCACCCUCAGAGGUCUGUAACCCAGAAUCCAGUCCUCAGAGUCCUACAAUGACAUGUGAGCCAAGCUUGGGAGGUGUCUGCUGUGAAACUGCUGCUCAGGGCUGCUUCAGCUACACCUGGGGAUUUCAGAAUGGGGAUGAGCUGAUUUCCAAAUGGGAUCUGUGUCAUACCUGGACAGCCCUGGGCUCCCCAGCUCACACAGCUCUGCCUUCCAAGAUGAGGAAUGCAUCAGCACCACUCUCACAGGAGAAACAGCACCAGGAUGGACAUAAAGCAGCUGUGGUUCAG
rnacentral:lncRNA from 1 species